AUAAUGUCAUAACAAUGUUGAAUUGUUUUCUUGGAUGGAGAUUUGAUUGCCUUGUUUUUAUGUGUUUGGCAAUGCAGAUACGGGAAUGUGACUGUGGUGGAGAAUACAGAGAAGAUGGUAGGAUCUUAUCUUCCAGCAGAUAAGGGCAGUUUUUGGUUUUGGCAUUUAAGAUAUUUAAGUAGGGUUUCUCUUGCAGUUGUAGAAUUUGUUAAUUUUGGAAGCAUGAAUUAAAUGUUUGGGAUUAACUUACAAAGCUUCCUAUCAAAACCAAUCAAAACCAUUUUCUGAAUCUAAUGUUACAAUGUUGUGCACUCUCAUUGAUAAGCAGAUUUUCAUUAUGAUGAAUUUUCAGUCUUUCUCAAAAUUUCAAUAACUAAAAUUCAUGUGGCAUUCGGUGUGAAUUUUGUCAGAUUUGUCUCAUUGCAUUGGAUUGAUUUUUUGUACUGUUACCAGGCCCGUCAAUUUUUUCUUUUUAAUCCCAACUGUUUUUGCUUUCAGGGAAAAGAGGUUUCUUCUUUGAUGCCUUGCAGGAGAGCUGUGGUUUUGACAAUUGGGGCAAAUAAACAUCACUUAUGAAGAAGAUGAUUGCACUAUCCACCAAGUUGGAAAAAGAGGUGAAUCUUUGAUAUGGCAGAUCUGAAACUUUUACGUAUUGAUUUCAACUUAACUCCAUUUUAGGUGUAAUUUUGGACUGAUUUUGUUUUGAAUUCGACUAUAUUUGUUAUGGCUCCUGAUGAGGUGCAAGGGUUGCUGCGGAAAAGGCAUCUGUCCAAAAAUAUGUGCUUUCAAGUUUUAUUGUAUUAGAGAUAAAAUAUGGAACAUUACAUUAUGUAUGUGAGAUUGGGAAUGUGUUGUAGGUCUUUUCAUUUUAAGAAAAUUAAAAAAUUUCAUUUCCUCAA